rnacentral:rRNA from 2 species
GAGUUUGGAACUGGCUCAGGACGAACGCUGGCGGCGUGCCUAAUACAUGCAAGUCGAACGAACUCUGGUAUUGAUUGGUGCUUGCAUCAUGAUUUACAUUUGAGUGAGUGGCGAACUGGUGAGUAACACGUGGGAAACCUGCCCAGAAGCGGGGGAUAACACCUGGAAACAGAUGCUAAUACCGCAUAACAACUUGGACCGCAUGGUCCGAGCUUGAAAGAUGGCUUCGGCUAUCACUUUUGGAUGGUCCCGCGGCGUAUUAGCUAGAUGGUGGGGUAACGGCUCACCAUGGCAAUGAUACGUAGCCGACCUGAGAGGGUAAU